rnacentral:rRNA from 1 species
GACGAACGCUGGCGGCGUGCUUAACACAUGCAAGUCGAGCGGAAAGGCCCUUCGGGGUACUCGAGCGGCGAACGGGUGAGUAACACGUGAGUAACCUGCCCCAGACUUUGGGAUACCCCUCGGAAACGGGGGCUAAUACCGGAUACGACACAGCUUCGCAUGGGGUCUGUGUGGAAAGUUUUUCGGUUUGGGAUGGGCUCGCGGCCUAUCAGCUUGUUGGGGGGGUGAUGGCCUACCAAGGCGACGACGGGUAGCCGGCCUGAGAGGGCGGCCGGCCACACUGGGCCUGAGACACGGCCCAGACUCCUACGGGAGGCAGCAGUGGGGAAUAUUGCACAAUGGGCGGAAGCCUGAUGCAGCGACGCCGCGUGAGGGAUGACGGCCUUCGGGUUGUAAACCUCUUUCAGCAGGGACGAAGCGUAAGUGACGGUACCUGCAGAAGAAGCGCCGGCCAACUACGUG